rnacentral:rRNA from 1 species
CAGUCGCCGCGGUAAUACGUAGGUGGCAAGCGUUGUCCGGAAUUAUUGGGCGUAAAGGGCUCGCAGGCGGUUUCUUAAGUCUGAUGUGAAAGCCCCCGGCUCAACCGGGGAGGGUCAUUGGAAACUGGGAAACUUGAGCGCAGAAGAGGAGAGUGGAAUUCCACGUGUAGCGGUGAAAUGCGUAGAGAUGUGGAGGAACACCAGUGGCGAAGGCGACUCUCUGGUCUGUAACUGACGCUGAGGAGCGAAAGCGUGGGGAGCGAACAGGAUUAGAUACCCCUGUAGUCCCUGUCUCUUAUAC